CCCGGAGAGGAGCCGCCCUGGAUGGACAGAGGGACGGAGGGACGAGCAUCCAGCCAGUUGUGUCCCGGCUGCCCAACAGCGGUCUCCAACGCCCGCUGCUGCCCGUCCGAUGCCCGCCUGCCCAGCAUCUCUCUCCCGCGGGCCUGUCCCCUGGCCUGGGUCACAUCAUUCUGCUGUAGGAGGAGGACCCACACAUCCCUUCUCUGCCAACCCCUCCUUAGGGCUCAGCCUAAAGGUAAUGCCAUCAUUUUAACCAACAAUGCUGGGAUAAAAGAAUAUAACCUUCAUCAUGGGGAUACCUUUAUUCAUUUGGAACCAGAAGAGACCUAGAAUAGGAAAAGCAAUUCUAGGCAACAGAGAUAUGGC